rnacentral:lncRNA from 1 species
UGCCAUUGCCUUCUCCACCUGCAUUGGCAGGCAGGUUCUUUACCACUAACACCACUUAGGAAGCCCUGUGUAAGGAAGAGAGACUUGUAAAACGUAAGUGAAAUUAUAACACACCUCUCCACAGAAAGAAGGGUUUCAGAACAAGUAAGAAGGAUAAGGCUUUUGCCAAGGUUUUCUUAAUUGCUGGCGGGCAGCCUAUAAAAUAUGUGUGUGAUGGCUGAAAGGGAGAUGUCAGAUUACAGUCUCAACUCCCUGUCUGAUGUCUACUCCUUCAUUCUCAGCCCAGCCCUUAUUUCUAGAUUUAGAUACAGCUCAAAAGAGACUCAGACUUUGAAGACCUAGGCAGAAAACUGUGCUAGUCACAUGGAAUCAUUUUGAAUGUUUUCUCAGCUGUUUCCUAAGAAAACAGAUUUAACAUUUGUCACCUUCAUUCCCAAAUAAGGAAAGCGAUUUCACUUUCUACUGAAGCAAAAACCGCAAGGCGGAUUUGGCAUUUGCUGAGUGCAGAGUAGGGUUCAGAUUAAUGGCGUGUCGAGGGUUUCUUUGUUUUUACCAUCUUUCUAUAUUUUCACAUUCCAGAAGCUAAAUGAAUUGCCCACACCUCUUCAGGGGGCUCCCUAAUAGAAUGAUCCCAUCAGGAAACUGUUCUUCUACAUCCCCUUCAUCAUUCCUCUUUCCAUUUUCCAGGUUUCAUAUUUAGGCCAAAAUUAGUCAGUUUCUGGAAUAUAAGAAUGGCUGGAGGAAGGAAAUGGAGAGGAAGAGAAAAGGGAUGAAACAGACUUGAGCAACACAUGAUGAACGGGGCUCUCAGGACUGCCUUUUAUUUCUCUGCAUACCUAAAUUGACAGUCACAGUAUUUCAUAUAUCAAGUCACGUCAUACAAUCAUCAAUUUCUGAGCACGUGUCAUAAGCUAUAUUCCUUAUACAUAUUUUUAGUUCACUGAUUUUCAAUUACCCUGUAAGUUAAGUAAUAUUGUCCUUAUUUAACAGGUGAGACACUUAAGGCUUCAAUAAGAUAAGUAUUGUGCCCAGUGUCACGUUAACUAGUCACAGUUAGUUUUGGGACCAGA